rnacentral:rRNA from 1 species
AUUGAACGCUGGCGGCAGGCCUAACACAUGCGAGUCGAGCGGAUGAAGGGAGCUUGCUCCUGGAUUCAGCGGCGGACGGGUGAGUAAUGCCUAGGAAUCUGCCUGGUAGUGGGGGAUAACGUCCGGAAACGGGCGCUAAUACCGCAUACGUCCUGAGGGAGAAAGUGGGGGAUCUUCGGACCUCACGCUAUCAGAUGAGCCUAGGUCGGAUUAGCUAGUUGGUGGGGUAAAGGCCUACCAAGGCGACGAUCCGUAACUGGUCUGAGAGGAUGAUCAGUCACACUGGAGCUGAGACACGGUCCAGACUCCUACGGGAGGCAGCAGUGGGGAAUAUUGGACAAUGGGCGAAAGCCUGAUCCAGCCAUGCCGCGUGUGUGAAGAAGGUCUUCGGAUUGUAAAGCACUUUAAGUUGGGAGGAAGGGCAGUAAGUUAAUACCUUGCUGUUUUGACGUUACCAACAGAAUAAGCACCGGCUAACUUCGUG